rnacentral:tRNA from 1 species
GCCGGUGUGGCGGAAUGGUAGACGCGCUCGAUUCAAAAUCGAGUUUCUCACGAAGUGCGGGUUCGAGUCCCGCCGCCGGUA